GCAGUCAGAGGCGAUGAAGGACGUGCUAAUCUGCGAUAAGCGUCGGUAAGGUGAUAUGAACCGUUAUAACCGGCGAUUUCCGAAUGGGGAAACCCAGUGUGAUUCGUCACACUAUCAUUAACUGAAUCCAUAGGUUAAUGAGGCGAACCGGGGGAACUGAAACAUCUAAGUACCCCGAGGAAAAGAAAUCAACCGAGAUUCCCCCAGUAGCGGCGAGCGAACGGGGAGGAGCCCAGAGCCUGAAUCAGUGUGUGUGUUAGUGGAAGCGUCUGGAAAGGCGUGCGAUACAGGGUGACAGCCCCGUACACAAAAAUGCACAUACUGUGAGCUCGAUGAGUAGGGCGGGACACGUGGUAUCCUGUCUGAAUAUGGGGGGACCAUCCUCCAAGGCUAAAUACUCCUGACUGACCGAUAGUGAACCAGUACCGUGAGGGAAAGGCGAAAAGAACCCCGGCGAGGGGAGUGAAAAAGAACCUGAAACCGUGUACGUACAAGCAGUGGGAGCCUCUUAAUGGGGUGACUGCGUACCUUUUGUAUAAUGGGUCAGCGACUUAUAUUCUGUAGCAAGGUUAACCGAAUAGGGGAGCCGAAGGGAAACCGAGUCUUAACUGGGCGUUAAGUUGCAGGGUAUAGACCCGAAACCCGGUGAUCUAGCCAUGGGCAGGUUGAAGGUUGGGUAACACUAACUGGAGGACCGAACCGACUAAUGUUGAAAAAUUAGCGGAUGACUUGUGGCUGGGGGUGAAAGGCCAAUCAAACCGGGAGAUAGCUGGUUCUCCCCGAAAGCUAUUUAGGUAGCGCCUCGUGAAUUCAUCUCCGGGGGUAGAGCACUGUUUCGGCAAGGGGGUCAUCCCGACUUACCAACCCGAUGCAAACUGCGAAUACCGGAGAAUGUUAUCACGGGAGACACACGGCGGGUGCUAACGUCCGUCGUGAAGAGGGAAACAACCCAGACCGCCAGCUAAGGUCCCAAAGUCAUGGUUAAGUGGGAAACGAUGUGGGAAGGCCCAGACAGCCAGGAUGUUGGCUUAGAAGCAGCCAUCAUUUAAAGAAAGCGUAAUAGCUCACUGGUCGAGUCGGCCUGCGCGGAAGAUGUAACGGGGCUAAACCAUGCACCGAAGCUGCGGCAGCGACACUAUGUGUUGUUGGGUAGGGGAGCGUUCUGUAAGCCUGUGAAGGUGUACUGUGAGGUAUGCUGGAGGUAUCAGAAGUGCGAAUGCUGACAUAAGUAACGAUAAAGCGGGUGAAAAGCCCGCUCGCCGGAAGACCAAGGGUUCCUGUCCAACGUUAAUCGGGGCAGGGUGAGUCGACCCCUAAGGCGAGGCCGAAAGGCGUAGUCGAUGGGAAACAGGUUAAUAUUCCUGUACUUGGUGUUACUGCGAAGGGGGGACGGAGAAGGCUAUGUUGGCCGGGCGACGGUUGUCCCGGUUUAAGCGUGUAGGCUGGUUUUCCAGGCAAAUCCGGAAAAUCAAGGCUGAGGCGUGAUGACGAGGCACUACGGUGCUGAAGCAACAAAUGCCCUGCUUCCAGGAAAAGCCUCUAAGCAUCAGGUAACAUCAAAUCGUACCCCAAACCGACACAGGUGGUCAGGUAGAGAAUACCAAGGCGCUUGAGAGAACUCGGGUGAAGGAACUAGGCAAAAUGGUGCCGUAACUUCGGGAGAAGGCACGCUGAUAUGUAGGUGAAGUCCCUCGCGGAUGGAGCUGAAAUCAGUCGAAGAUACCAGCUGGCUGCAACUGUUUAUUAAAAACACAGCACUGUGCAAACACGAAAGUGGACGUAUACGGUGUGACGCCUGCCCGGUGCCGGAAGGUUAAUUGAUGGGGUUAGCGGUAACGCGAAGCUCUUGAUCGAAGCCCCGGUAAACGGCGGCCGUAACUAUAACGGUCCUAAGGUAGCGAAAUUCCUUGUCGGGUAAGUUCCGACCUGCACGAAUGGCGUAAUGAUGGCCAGGCUGUCUCCACCCGAGACUCAGUGAAAUUGAACUCGCUGUGAAGAUGCAGUGUACCCGCGGCAAGACGGAAAGACCCCGUGAACCUUUACUAUAGCUUGACACUGAACAUUGAGCCUUGAUGUGUAGGAUAGGUGGGAGGCUUUGAAGUGUGGACGCCAGUCUGCAUGGAGCCGGCCUUGAAAUACCACCCUUUAAUGUUUGAUGUUCUAACGUUGGCCCCUGACCGGGGUUGCGGACAGUGUCUGGUGGGUAGUUUGACUGGGGCGGUCUCCUCCUAAAGAGUAACGGAGGAGCACGAAGGUUGGCUAAUCCUGGUCGGACAUCAGGAGGUUAGUGCAAUGGCAUAAGCCAGCUUGACUGCGAGCGUGACGGCGCGAGCAGGUGCGAAAGCAGGUCAUAGUGAUCCGGUGGUUCUGAAUGGAAGGGCCAUCGCUCAACGGAUAAAAGGUACUCCGGGGAUAACAGGCUGAUACCGCCCAAGAGUUCAUAUCGACGGCGGUGUUUGGCACCUCGAUGUCGGCUCAUCACAUCCUGGGGCUGAAGUAGGUCCCAAGGGUAUGGCUGUUCGCCAUUUAAAGUGGUACGCGAGCUGGGUUUAGAACGUCGUGAGACAGUUCGGUCCCUAUCUGCCGUGGGCGCUGGAGAACUGAGGGGGGCUGCUCCUAGUACGAGAGGACCGGAGUGGACGCAUCACUGGUGUUCGGGUUGUCAUGCCAAUGGCACUGCCCGGUAGCUAAAUGCGGAAGAGAUAAGUGCUGAAAGCAUCUAAGCACGAAACUUGCCCCGAGAUGAGUUCUCCCUGACUCCUUGAGAGUCCUGAAGGAACGUUGAAGACGACGACGUUGAUAGGCCGGGUGUGUAAGCGCAGCGAUGCGUUGAGCUAACCGGUACUAAUGAACCGUGAG
rnacentral:rRNA from 1 species